AGUUCAUUGCUGGGGUUCCCAAAGCUCUCGACUGCGUAGGGAUGGUGUUCACGGCUAGGAACAAGAGACAGCAAAAGAAGGCAGCGCAGUGCUUCGUGAAGAAAAUUCUGACGUUCCAGAAAGUACACAAUGUACCCAUGGAUCAGGUCCAGAAAGUUGCCAACUCUAUCAAUUGCUUGAAAGAAACUUUCCUGAUGUGAAUUGCUUCGAGCACUUCGUGUUGUGGUGAAUUCGAGCCUCACUACUCACCAGGAAGCGAUGCACGAAGAUUGUGCACGAAGGGGGAGAAUAAAAAUGUUUACAUAAAAAAUAAAAAAAACAAUGAAGCGACCAAAUAAAAUCUUUACAAAAAGAACGUCGAUGUCAUGACAGGAAGGUCGCCUUGACGCGGCAUAAUUUAUGUCACAUUCUCGCAUUUUUU